rnacentral:lncRNA from 1 species
UAUUCCCAAGCAGACGGUGCAUAAGAUGGACUGCAAUCCUAUGCACCCCUUGCAUCCAACUUGUACCUAAAAAUCUGCACAAACCUGCACCAGAGAACUGUAGAGUUGGGAGGUGAGAGCUGUUUCAUAGUUCUGCUGGAUCUUUUGGAGGCAUUUGACACCAUCAGCCAUAACAUCCUUCUGGACCGUCUAGAGGGCCUGGGAGCUAGAGGCACUGUUAUACAGUGGUUCCGCUCCUUCCUCUUGGGCCGUGUUCAGAAAAUGUUGUUGGGGGUUGAGUGGUGUUGGGGGAUGAGUGUUCAGAUCCCUGAGCUCUCACUUGUGGGGUGCCUCAGGGUUCCGUCCUCUCCCCAUGCUUUUCAACAUCUACAUGAAGCCGCUGGGAGAGAUCAGGGGGUUUGGGCUGGGUGUUCAUCAGUAUGCGGAAACCCAGCUCCACCUCUCUUUCAAAUCAGAACCAGUGAAGAUGGUGAAGGUCCUGUGUGAGUGUCUGGAGGCGGUUUGAGGAUGGAGGGCAGCUAACAUAUUAAAGUUGAAUGCUGACAAGGCAGGUGUCCUGUUUUGAGGGGACAGGAGGCAGGCAGGUGUGGAGGACUCCCUGGUUCUGAAUGGGGUAACUGUGCCCCUAAAGGACCAGGUGCGCAGCCUGGGAGUCAUUUUGGACUUGCAGCUGUCAAUGGAAGCGCAGGUCAAUUCCAUGUCCAGGGCAGCUGUUUACGAGCUCCAUCUGGUACGCAGGCUGAGACCCUAUCCGCCCGCAGACUGUCUUGCCAGACUAGCGCAUGCACCAGUUAUCUCCCACUUGCACUACUGCAAUGCACUCUACGUGGGGCUACCUUUGAAGGUGAUCUGGAAACAACAAUUAAUCCAGAAUGUGGCAGCUAGACUGGUGAUGGGGUGCAGCCGCCAAGACCACAUUACACUGGUAUUGAAAGACCAAGAUAGGCUCCCAUUGCAUUUCUGAGCACAAAUCAAAGCAUUGGUGCUGACCUUUAAGGCGCUAAACGGCCUCGAUCCAGUAUACCUGAAGUAGAGUCUCCACCUCCAUCGUUCUGCCUGGACAUGGAGGUCCAGCACCAAGAGCCUUCUGGCAGGUCCCUCACUGUGAGAAGCAAAGUUACAGGGAACCAGAUAGAGGGCCUUCUCAGUAGUGGUGCCCUCCCUGUGGAAUAACUUCCCACCAUAUGUCAAAGGAAAAAACAGCCACCAGACUUUAAAAGACAUCUGGUGGGCUGCCCUGUUUAGGGAAGCUUUUAAUAUCUGAAGGACUAUUGUAUUUCAAUAUUUUGUUGGAAGCCACCCAGAGUGGCGGGGGAAAUCUAGCCAGAUGGGCGUGGUGAUAAAUAUUAUUAUUAUUGAAAACCAACACAAUUUUUUUUCUGUACAUCCAGAGACUUGACAAUCAUCUUACUUCCCAGGAAAUCUGGGAAACCUGAGCGGAAAACUCCAUACAUUUAUAUGGUUUCCCACCUGUGUGAAUUAUCUUAUGAAUAUUAAGGUCUCCACUCCCUCUGAAGCUUUUUCCACAUUUCAUAAAUCUGGUUUUUCCCAUUUGAGUUAGCAGAAGUUUCCUAAGGUUCCAUAUUGACUUAAGCUACUCCCCUUUGGGAGUUUGCCAGUGUAAUGUAAGUUUAUCCUCCCUGUUGAAGCUCGUCCCACAUUCAAUACGUUCCAAUGGUUUCUCCCCCGUAUAAGUUAGUUGGUGUAUUCUAACACAUGUGAUAAGGCUACACAGGAAGGUAUUGAGUAAUAAAAGACUGGGCCAUGAAUUUAUUUCAUCAGACAAAGUUAAAAAAAGAGGAGUAGUAAUUUAUGCCUAUCACCAAAAUUUAUAUUUAAAGAUGACCAAGGAAGAUUUGUUGCAAUUGAAAUUCAAUCACAAGGAGAGAAAUUUUUGAUAGUAGGCAUCUAUGCACCAAACGAGGGGAAAUCGGAAUUUUUUAAGAAGUUACAUGAGACUCUGAUGGACCAUAUGGAUUACAAUAUGAUUUUGAUGGGGGACAUGGAGUGGUGACUACAAAUAUGGACAAGGCACAGAGACAGGUAGUUACUAAGUAUGGUAGACUACCAAAAACUUGUUUUGACAUGACUGACAAUAUGGAUUUAGUUGACAUUUGGAGAACGAAGAACCCCUUGGGAAGAGAGGGAACUUUCUUCUCUGAGGCCAAAAUGACAUGGACAAGAAUUGACCAAAUUUGGGUAACUAGAGGGCUGGCUCCGAAGACUAGAAAAGUGGAAAUCUGCCCUAAAACUUGCUCCGACCACAAUGCUGUGAAGAUGGAAAUGAAACUAACACCAAUUGGUUCCUUUAGAUGGAGGAUGAAUGACACUUUGUUUAGGAACGAAGAUGUGACUAAGAAGGCCCAAAAAACCUUGAGGGACUACUUUGAGAUAAAUAUGAACACCACUGUUGAAAAAGAGUAAUCUGGGAUGCAAGUAAAGCAGCUAUGAGAGGAUUUUUGAUACAACAGAAUGCAAUUAAGAAGAGAGCGCAAAAUGAAAAAUAAAGAUAAGAUUUUGGAG